CUGUGAGCUCGAUGAGUAGGGCGGGACACGUGGUAUCCUGUCUGAAUAUGGGGGGACCAUCCUCCAAGGCUAAAUACUCCUGACUGACCGAUAGUGAACCAGUACCGUGAGGGAAAGGCGAAAAGAACCCCGGCGAGGGGAGUGAAAAAGAACCUGAAACCGUGUACGUACAAGCAGUGGGAGCACGCUUAGGCGUGUGACUGCGUACCUUUUGUAUAAUGGGUCAGCGACUUAUAUUCUGUAGCAAGGUUAACCGAAUAGGGGAGCCGAAGGGAAACCGAGUCUUAACUGGGCGUUAAGUUGCAGGGUAUAGACCCGAAACCCGGUGAUCUAGCCAUGGGCAGGUUGAAGGUUGGGUAACACUAACUGGAGGACCGAACCGACUAAUGUUGAAAAAUUAGCGGAUGACUUGUGGCUGGGGGUGAAAGGCCAAUCAAACCGGGAGAUAGCUGGUUCUCCCCGAAAGCUAUUUAGGUAGCGCCUCGUGAAUUCAUCUCCGGGGGUAGAGCACUGUUUCGGCAAGGGGGUCAUCCCGACUUACCAACCCGAUGCAAACUGCGAAUACCGGAGAAUGUUAUCACGGGAGACACACGGCGGGUGCUAACGUCCGUCGUGAAGAGGGAAACAACCCAGACCGCCAGCUAAGGUCCCAAAGUCAUGGUUAAGUGGGAAACGAUGUGGGAAGGCCCAGACAGCCAGGAUGUUGGCUUAGAAGCAGCCAUCAUUUAAAGAAAGCGUAAUAGCUCACUGGUCGAGUCGGCCUGCGCGGAAGAUGUAACGGGGCUAAACCAUGCACCGAAGCUGCGGCAGCGACGCUUAUGCGUUGUUGGGUAGGGGAGCGUUCUGUAAGCCUGCGAAGGUGUGCUGUGAGGCAUGCUGGAGGUAUCAGAAGUGCGAAUGCUGACAUAAGUAACGAUAAAGCGGGUGAAAAGCCCGCUCGCCGGAAGACCAAGGGUUCCUGUCCAACGUUAAUCGGGGCAGGGUGAGUCGACCCCUAAGGCGAGGCCGAAAGGCGUAGUCGAUGGGAAACAGGUUAAUAUUCCUGUACUUGGUGUUACUGCGAAGGGGGGACGGAGAAGGCUAUGUUGGCCGGGCGACGGUUGUCCCGGUUUAAGCGUGUAGGCUGGUUUUCCAGGCAAAUCCGGAAAAUCAAGGCUGAGGCGUGAUGACGAGGCACUACGGUGCUGAAGCAACAAAUGCCCUGCUUCCAGGAAAAGCCUCUAAGCAUCAGGUAACAUCAAAUCGUACCCCAAACCGACACAGGUGGUCAGGUAGAGAAUACCAAGGCGCUUGAGAGAACUCGGGUGAAGGAACUAGGCAAAAUGGUGCCGUAACUUCGGGAGAAGGCACGCUGAUAUGUAGGUGAAGUCCCUCGCGGAUGGAGCUGAAAUCAGUCGAAGAUACCAGCUGGCUGCAACUGUUUAUUAAAAACACAGCACUGUGCAAACACGAAAGUGGACGUAUACGGUGUGACGCCUGCCCGGUGCCGGAAGGUUAAUUGAUGGGGUCAGCGCAAGCGAAGCUCUUGAUCGAAGCCCCGGUAAACGGCGGCCGUAACUAUAACGGUCCUAAGGUAGCGAAAUUCCUUGUCGGGUAAGUUCCGACCUGCACGAAUGGCGUAAUGAUGGCCAGGCUGUCUCCACCCGAGACUCAGUGAAAUUGAACUCGCUGUGAAGAUGCAGUGUACCCGCGGCAAGACGGAAAGACCCCGUGAACCUUUACUAUAGCUUGACACUGAACAUUGAGCCUUGAUGUGUAGGAUAGGUGGGAGGCUUUGAAGUGUGGACGCCAGUCUGCAUGGAGCCGACCUUGAAAUACCACCCUUUAAUGUUUGAUGUUCUAACGUUGACCCGUGAUCCGGGUUGCGGACAGUGUCUGGUGGGUAGUUUGACUGGGGCGGUCUCCUCCUAAAGAGUAACGGAGGAGCACGAAGGUUGGCUAAUCCUGGUCGGACAUCAGGAGGUUAGUGCAAUGGCAUAAGCCAGCUUGACUGCGAGCGUGACGGCGCGAGCAGGUGCGAAAGCAGGUCAUAGUGAUCCGGUGGUUCUGAAUGGAAGGGCCAUCGCUCAACGGAUAAAAGGUACUCCGGGGAUAACAGGCUGAUACCGCCCAAGAGUUCAUAUCGACGGCGGUGUUUGGCACCUCGAUGUCGGCUCAUCACAUCCUGGGGCUGAAGUAGGUCCCAAGGGUAUGGCUGUUCGCCAUUUAAAGUGGUACGCGAGCUGGGUUUAGAACGUCGUGAGACAGUUCGGUCCCUAUCUGCCGUGGGCGCUGGAGAACUGAGGGGGGCUGCUCCUAGUACGAGAGGACCGGAGUGGACGCAUCACUGGUGUUCGGGUUGUCAUGCCAAUGGCACUGCCCGGUAGCUAAAUGCGGAAGAGAUAAGUGCUGAAAGCAUCUAAGCACGAAACUUGCCCCGAGAUGAGUUCUCCCUGA
rnacentral:rRNA from 1 species